UCCUGGUUGUUCCAGGCAGUCCUCCAAGAGUGCUUCCGCCGAUCUUUCGACCAACAGAUUAGCAACAUGGAGCAAUGGUUGCGCUCGUUGCGGGACUUAACCCAACAUCUCACGACACGAGCUGACGACAGCCAUGCAGCACCUGUACAGGCUCCCGACUUAACGGGUCGUUCCCCUUUCAGUUCACUACUUCCUGUAUGUCAAGUCCUGGUGAGGUUCUUCGCGUAGCAUCGAAUUAAACCACAUGUUCCACCGCUUGUGCGGGUCCCCGUCAAUUCCUUUGAGUUUUAACCUUGCGGCCGUAGUCCCCAGGUGGAGUACUUAAUGCGUUAGCUGCGGCACUGAGCCCGAAGGCCCAACACCUAGUACUCAUCGUUUACGGCUAGGACUAC
rnacentral:misc_RNA from 1 species